rnacentral:rRNA from 1 species
GAUGAACGCUAGCGGCAGGCUUAAUACAUGCAAGUCGAGGGGCAGCACAGGUAGCAAUACUGGGUGGCGACCGGCAAACGGGUGCGGAACACGUACACAACUUACCUUCUGGUGGGGGAUAGCCUUUGGAAACGGAGAUUAAUACCCCAUAUUAUAUAUGAGCUGCAUGGUUUGUAUAUUAAAGAUUUAUUGCCGGAAGAUGGGUGUGCGUAUGAUUAGGUAGUUGGCGGGGUAACGGCCCACCAAGCCGACGAUCAUUAACUGGUGUGAGAGCACGACCAGUCACACGGGCACUGAGACACGGGCCCGACUCCUACGGGAGGCAGCAGUAAGGAAUAUUGGUCAAUGGACGGAAGUUUGAACCAGCCAUGCCGCGUGGAGGAUGAAGGUCCUCUGGAUUGUAAACUUCUUUUAUAGGGGGCGAAAAAAGGGAAUUCUUUCUCGUCUGACGGUACCCUAUGAAUAAGCACCGGCUAACUCCGUGCCAGCCGCCGCGGUAAGAC